AUUGAACGCUAGCGGGAUGCCUUACACAUGCAAGUCGAACGGAGUGGCGAACGGGUGAGUAAUGUAUAGGAACGUGCCAAGUAGCGGGGGAUAACUACGAGAAAGCGUAGCUAAUACCGCAUACUAUUGGAGCGGCCGUUAUCGUAUUAGCUAGGUGGUUGGGUAACGGCUAACCAAGGCGACGAUCCGUAGCUGGUUUGAGGGGACGACCAGCCAACCUGGGACUGAGACACGGCCCAGACUCCUACGGGAGGCAGCAGUGGGGAAUUUUGUACAAUGGUGGAAACCCUGAUCCAGCCAUCCCGCGUGUGCGAUGAAGGCCUUCGGGUUGUAAAGCACUUUUGGCAGGAAAGCGGUACCUGCAGAAUAAGCACCGGCUAACUACGUGCCAGCAGCCGCUGUAAUUC
rnacentral:rRNA from 1 species